CACAACAUUAUGGACAGUCCAU
rnacentral:siRNA from 1 species